rnacentral:rRNA from 1 species
GACGUAGGGCGCGAGCGUUGUCCGGAUUUAUUGGGCGUAAAGAGCUCGUAGGCGGCUUGUCGCGUCGACUGUGAAAUCCCGCGGCUCAACUGCGGGUCUGCAGUCGAUACGGGCAGGCUAGAGUUCGGUAGGGGAGACUGGAAUUCCUGGUGUAGCGGUGAAAUGCGCAGAUAUCAGGAGGAACACCGGUGGCGAAGGCGGGUCUCUGGGCCGAUACUGACACUGAGAGACGAAAGCUAGGGGAGCGAAUGGG